rnacentral:rRNA from 1 species
GACGAACCGUGCGAACGUUGUUCGGAAUCACUGGGCUUAAAGGGCGCGUAGGCGGUUUGCCAAGUCCGGGGUGAAAGCCUCCAGCUUAACUGGAGAAGUGCCUUGGAUACUGGCGAACUCGAGUGAGGUAGGGGUGAUGGGAACUUCCGGUGGAGCGGUGAAAUGCGUUGAUAUCGGAAGGAACGCCGGUGGCGAAAGCGCAUCACUGGACCUCUUCUGACGCUGAGGCGCGAAAGCCAGGGGGAGCAAAGCGGG